rnacentral:rRNA from 1 species
CAGAGCCUACGGGAGGCAGCAGUGGGGAAUAUUGGGCAAUGGGCGCAAGCCUGACCCAGCAACGCCGCGUGAAGGAAGAAGGCGUUCGGGUUGUAAAUUUCUUUUAUGAGGGACGAAAGAAAUGACGGUACCUCAUGAAUAAGCCACGGCUAACUACGUGCCAGCAGCCGCGGUAAUACGUAGGUGGCAAGCGUUGUCCGGAUUUACUGGGUGUAAAGGGCGUGCAGCCGGGCUGACAAGUCAGAUGUGAAAUCCCGCGGCUCAACCGCGGAACUGCAUUUGAAACUGUCAGUCUUGAGUACCGG